rnacentral:rRNA from 1 species
GAUGAACGCUGGCGGCGUGCCUAAUACAUGCAAGUCGAGCGAACGGACGAGAAGCUUGCUUCUCUGAUGUUAGCGGCGGACGGGUGAGUAACACGUGGAUAACCUACCUAUAAGACUGGGAUAACUUCGGGAAACCGGAGCUAAUACCGGAUAAUAUUUUGAACCGCAUGGUUCAAAAGUGAAAGACGGUCUUGCUGUCACUUAUAGAUGGAUCCGCGCUGCAUUAGCUAGUUGGUAAGGUCACGGCUUACCAAGGCAACGAUGCAUAGCCGACCUGAGAGGGUGAUCGGCCACACGGGAACUGAGACACGGUCCAGACUCCUACGGGACGGAGCAGUAGGGAAUCUUCCGCAAUGGGCGAAAGCCUUACGGAGCAACGCCGCGUGAGUGACGAAGGUCUUCGGAUCGUAAAACUCUGUUAUGAGUGAAGAACAGAUGUGUAAGUAACUGUGCACAUCGUGACGGUACCUAAUCAGAAAGCCACGGCUAACUACGUG